rnacentral:rRNA from 1 species
GUGGGGAAUCUUCCGCAAUGGACGAAAGUCUGACGGAGCGACGCCGCGUGAGUGAAGAAGGCCUUCGGGUCGUAAAGCUCUGUCAUCAGGGACGAACGGCCGGUGGAGUGGAAAGCCACCGGAUUGACGGUACCUGAGAAGGAAGCCACGGCUAACUACGUGCCAGCAGCCGCGGUAAUACGUAGGUGGCAAGCGUUGUCCGGAAUUAUUGGGCGUAAAGCGCGCGCAGGUGGGAUCUUAAGUCCAUUUUUAAAGUUCGGAGCUCAACUCCGUGAUGGGAUGGAAACUGGGAGUCUUGAGUACCGGAGAGGAAAGCGGAAUUCCCCGUGUAGCGGUGAAAUGCGUAGAUAUGGGGAGGAACACCAGUGGCGAAGGCGGCUUUCUGGACGGUGUCUGACACUGAGGCGCGAAAGCCAGGGGAGCGAACGGGAUUAGAAACCCUUGUAGUCC